AUUAGAGUUUGAUCCUGGCUCAGGACGAACGCUGGCGGCGUGCCUAAUACAUGCAAGUCGAACGCAAUCUUUGACUAAUGAGUGCUUGCACUCAGCGGUCAAAGUGCGAGUGGCGAACGGGUGAGUAACACGUGGGCAAUCUGCCCAAAAGUGGGGGAUAACACUUGGAAACAGGUGCUAAUACCGCAUCAACCGGCUGACCGCAUGGUCGGCCGGGCAAAGACGGCGUCAGCUGUCGCUUUUGGAUGAGCCCGCGGCGUAUUAACUAGUUGGUAAGGUAACGGCUUACCAAGGUGAUGAUACGUAGCCGAACUGAGAGGUUGAUCGGCCACAUUGGGACUGAGACACGGCCCAAACUCCUACGGGAGGCAGCAGUAGGGAAUCUUCCACAAUGGACGCAAGUCUGAUGGAGCAACGCCGCGUGUAUGAAGAAGGUCUUCGGAUCGUAAAAUACUGUUGUCAGAGAAGAACACGUGAUAGAGUAACUGCUAUGGCGCUGACGGUAUCUGACCAGCAAGUCACGGCUAACUACGUGCCAGCAGCCGCGGUAAUACGUAGGUGGCAAGCGUUGUCCGGAUUUAUUGGGCGUAAAGGGAACGCAGGCGGUCUUUUAAGUCUGAUGUGAAAGCCUUCGGCUUAACCGGAGAAGUGCAUUAGAAACUGGAAGACUUGAGUGCAGAAGAGGAGAGUGGAACUCCAUGUGUAG
rnacentral:rRNA from 1 species